AGUGAACGCUGGCGGUAGGCCUAACACAUGCAAGUCGAACGGCAGCACAGGAGAGCUUGCUCUCUGGGUGGCGAGUGGCGGACGGGUGAGGAAUACAUCGGAAUCUACUUUUUCGUGGGGGAUAACGUAGGGAAACUUACGCUAAUACCGCAUACGGCCUACGGGUGAAAGCAGGGGAUCUUCGGACCUUGCGCGAUUGAAUGAGCCGAUGUCGGAUUAGCUAGUUGGCGGGGUAAAGGCCCACCAAGGCGACGAUCCGUAGCUGGGCUGAGAUGAUGAUCAGCCACACUGGAACUGAGACACGGUCCAGACUCCUACGGGAGGCAGCAGUGGGGAAUAUUGGACAAUGGGCGCAAGCCUGAUCCAGCCAUACCGCGUGGGUGAAGAAGGCCUUCGGGUUGUAAAGCCCUUUUGUUGGGAAAGAAAUCCAGCUGGUUAAUACCCGGUUGGGAUGACGGUACCCAAAGAAUAAGCACCGGCUAACUUCGUGCCAGCCGCCGCCGUAA
rnacentral:rRNA from 1 species